UACGUAGGUGGCAAGCGUUGUUCGGAAUUAUUGGGCGUAAAGGGCGCGUAGGCGGCUUGUUAAGUCAGUUGUGAAAGCCCGGGGCUCAACCCCGGAGGGUCGACUGAUACUGGUAAGCUGGAGUACAGAAGAGGUAGCUGGAAUUCCCGGUGUAGCGGUGAAAUGCGUAGAGAUCGGAAAGAACACCAACGGCGAAAGCACUCUGCUGGGCCGACACUGACACUGAGAGACGAAAGCUAGGGGAGCGAAUGGG
rnacentral:rRNA from 1 species